CCUACGGGAGGCAGCAGUGGGGAAUAUUGGGCAAUGGGCGCAAGCCUGACCCAGCAACGCCGCGUGAAGGAAGAAGGCUUUCGGGUUGUAAACUUCUUUUGUCAGGGAAGAGUAGAAGACGGUACCUGACGAAUAAGCCACGGCUAACUACGUGCCAGCAGCCGCGGUAAUACGUAGGUGGCAAGCGUUGUCCGGAUUUACUGGGGGUAAAGGGCGUGUAGCCGGGCUGACAAGUCAGAUGUGAAAUCCGGGGGCUCAACCCCCGAACUGCAUUUGAAACUGUUGGUCUUGAGUAUCGGAGAGGCAGGCGGAAUUCCUAGUGUAGCGGUGAAAUGCGUAGAUAUUAGGAGGAACACCAGUGGCGAAGGCGGCCUGCUGGACGACAACUGACGGUGAGGCGCGAAAGCGUGGGGAGCAAACAGGAUUAGAUACCCGAGUAGUC
rnacentral:rRNA from 1 species